rnacentral:lncRNA from 1 species
AAGUGGGCAUACAAAAAUCUCAUUAAAGACAAGUUUUUUUGGACAAUGCAGAUACCGGAUGACUGUUCAUGGAUAUGGCGUGGAAUCCUACAAACUAGAGAACAAGCCAAAAGGUUUACAUGACUACAAAUAACAGAUGGCAAGAAUACUAGUAUUCUUCAUAAUCCUUGGAUUGAGAUUGGCAUAUUAAAUGAGCUAAUUACUAGAGGGGACAGAAGAGGGACUGGACUGAGAGAAGGAGACCAAGUAGAGAAGUUGAUCGAUCAUUAAUGGGCGGUGGGC